rnacentral:rRNA from 1 species
GAUGAACGCUAGCGGCAGGCUUAAUACAUGCAAGUCGUGGGGCAGCAUGAGUGUAGCAAUACAUUUGAUGGCGACCGGCAAACGGGUGCGGAACACGUACACAACCUUCCUAUAAGUGGGGAAUAGCCCAGAGAAAUUUGGAUUAAUACCCCGUAACAUAACGAUGUGGCAUCACAUUGUUAUUAUAGCUUCGGCGCUUAUUGAUGGGUGUGCGGCUGAUUAGAUAGUUGGCGGGGUAACGGCCCACCAAGUCUACGAUCAGUAGCUGAUGUGAGAGCAUGAUCAGCCACACGGGCACUGAGACACGGGCCCGACUCCUACGGGAGGCAGCAGUAAGGAAUAUUGGUCAAUGGACGCGAGUCUGAACCAGCCAUGCCGCGUGAAGGAUUAAGGUCCUCUGGAUUGUAAACUUCUUUUAUCUGGGACGAAAAAAGGCUUUUCUAAGUCACUUGACGGUACCAGAUGAAUAAGCACCGGCUAACUCCGCGCCAGCCGCCGCCGUAAUAC